GCCGGGGUGGCGGAGUUGGUAUACGCGGCGGAUUCAAAACCCGCUUCCUAACGGAUCGAGGGUUCGAGUCCCUCCCCCGGCA
rfam:Parcubacteria bacterium C7867-004 C7867_00001, whole genome shotgun sequence.